rnacentral:rRNA from 1 species
CCUUGGGGAAUUUUCCGCAAUGGGCGAAAGCCUGACGGAGCAACGCCGCGUGAGGGAGGAAGGUCUUUGGAUUGUAAACCUCUUUUCUCAAGGAAGAAGUUCUGACGGUACUUGAGGAAUCAGCCUCGGCUAACUCCGUGCCAGCAGCCGCGGUAAUACGGGGGAGGCAAGCGUUAUCCGGAAUUAUUGGGCGUAAAGCGUCCGCAGGUGGUCAGCCAAGUCUGCCGUCAAAUCAGGUUGCUUAACGACCUAAAGGCGGUGGAAACUGGCAGACUAGAGAGCAGUAGGGGUAGCAGGAAUUCCCAGUGUAGCGGUGAAAUGCGUAGAGAUUGGGAAGAACAUCGGUGGCGAAAGCGUGCUACUGGGCUGUAUCUGACACUCAGGGACGAAAGCUAGGGGAGCGAAAGGGAUUAGAUACCCCUGUAGUCCUAGCCGUAAACGAUGGAUACUAGGCGUGGCUUGUAUCGACCCGAGCCGUGCCGAAGCUAACGCGUUAAGUAUCCCGCCUGGGGAGUACGCACGCAAGUGUGAAACUCAAAGGAAUUGACGGGGGCCCGCACAAGCGGUGGAGUAUGUGGUUUAAUUCGAUGCAACGCGAAGAACCUUACCAAGACUUGACAUGUCUCGAGCCCUGGUGAAAGCUGGGGGUGCCUUCGGGAGCGCGAA